UGGCAUGUAGCUCAACGGCAGAGCAGCCGGCUGUUAACCGGUACGGAGUAAAAUCCAAGUGGAGGUUCGAAUCCUCUCAUGCCAGCCA
rnacentral:tRNA from 1 species